UACGUAGGGUGCAAGCGUUGUCCGGAAUUAUUGGGCGUAAAGAGCUCGUAGGCGGUUUGUUGCGUCGGCUGUGAAAUCCCGGAGGCUCAACCUCGGGUCUGCAGUCGAUACGAGCAAACUAGAGUGUUGCAGGGGAGACUGGAAUUCCUGGUGUAGCGGUGAAAUGCGCAGAUAUCAGGAGGAACACCGGUGGCGAAGGCGGGUCUCUGGGCAACAACUGACGCUGGAGGAGCGAAAGCGUGGGGAGCGAACAGG
rnacentral:rRNA from 1 species